rnacentral:rRNA from 1 species
UACGUAGGGUCCGAGCGUUGUCCGGAAUUACUGGGCGUAAAGCGCUCGUAGGUGGUUUGUCGCGUUGUCCGUGAAAACUCACAGCUCAACUGUGGGCGUGCGGUCGAUACGGGCAGACUGGAGUACUGCAGGGGAGACUGGAAUUCCUGGUGUAGCGGUGGAAUGCGCAGAUAUCAGGAGGAACACCGGUGGCGAAGGCGGGUCUCUGGGCAGUAACUGACGCUGAGGAGCGAAAGCGUGGGGAGCGAACAGG